AAUAAGCGGAGGAAAAGAAACUAACAAGGAUUCCCCUAGUAACGGCGAGUGAAGCGGGAAGAGCUCAAAUUUGAAAUCUGGUAGCCUUCGGUUGCCCGAGUUGUAAUCUAGAGAAGUGUUUUCCGUGCCGGCCCAUGUACAAGUCCCUUGGAACAGGGCGUCAUAGAGGGUGAGAAUCCCGUCCUUGACAUGGACCCCCGGUGCUUUGUGAUACACUUUCAACGAGUCGAGUUGUUUGGGAAUGCAGCUCAAAAUGGGUGGUGAAUUCCAUCUAAAGCUAAAUAUUGGCGAGAGACCGAUAGCGAACAAGUACCGUGAGGGAAAGAUGAAAAGCACUUUGGAAAGAGAGUUAAACAGUACGUGAAAUUGUUGAAAGGGAAACGAUUGAAGUCAGUCAUGCUCUUAGGAUUCAGCCGUUCUGCGGUGUAUUUCCUUUGAGUGGGGUCAACAUCAGUUUUGAUCGAUGGAUAAAGGCACGAGGAAGGUAGCACUCUCGGGUGAACUUAUAGCCUCGCGUCAUAUACAUUGAUUGGGACUGAGGAACGCAGCAUGCCUUUAUGGCCGGGAUUCGUCCACGUACAUGCUUAGGAUGUUGACAUAAUGGCUUUAAACGACCCGUCUUGA
rnacentral:rRNA from 1 species